GAUGAACGCUGGCGGCGUGCCUAACACAUGCAAGUCGAGCGAGAAGCUCAUGACGGAAUCUUCGGAGGACGGAUUGAGUGGAAAGCGGCGGACGGGUGAGUAACGCGUGGGUAACCUGCCCUGUACAGAGGAAUAGCCAUUGGAAACGAUGAUUAAUGCCUCAUAAGACUACAGUAUCGCAUGAUACAGUAGCCAAAAACUCCGGUGGUACAGGAUGGACCCGCGUUAGAUUAGCUAGUUGGUAAGGUAAAGGCUUACCAAGGCGACGAUCUAUAGCCGACCUGAGAGGGUGAUCGGCCACACUGGAACUGAGACACGGUCCAGACUCCUACGGGAGGCAGCAGUGGGGAAUAUUGCACAAUGGGCGAAAGCCUGAUGCAGCGACGCCGCGUGAACGAUGAAGGCUUUCGAGUCGUAAAGUUCUGUUCUUGGGGAAGAUAACGACGGUACCCAAGGAGAAAGCACCGGCUAAAUACGU
rnacentral:rRNA from 1 species